GAACGCUGGCGGCGUGCCUAAUACAUGCAAGUCGAGCGAGCUUGCCUAGAUGAUUUUAGUGCUUGCACUAAAUGAAACUAGAUACAAGCGAGCGGCGGACGGGUGAGUAACACGUGGGUAACCUGCCCAAGAGACUGGGAUAACACCUGGAAACAGAUGCUAAUACCGGAUAACAACACUAGACGCAUGUCUAGAGUUUGAAAGAUGGUUCUGCUAUCACUCUUGGAUGGACCUGCGGUGCAUUAGCUAGUUGGUAAGGUAACGGCUUACCAAGGCAAUGAUGCAUAGCCGAGUUGAGAGACUGAUCGGCCACAUUGGGACUGAGACACGGCCCAAACUCCUACGGGAGGCAGCAGUAGGGAAUCUUCCACAAUGGACGAAAGUCUGAUGGAGCAACGCCGCGUGAGUGAAGAAGGGUUUCGGCUCGUAAAGCUCUGUUGGUAGUGAAGAAAGACAGAGGUAGUAACUGGCCUUUAUUUGACGGUAAUUACUUAGAAAGUCACGGCUAACUACGUGCCAGCAGCCGCGGUAAUACGUAGGUGGCAAGCGUUGUCCGGAUUUAUUGGGCGUAAAGCGAGUGCAGGCGGUUCAAUAAGUCUGAUGUGAAAGCCUUCGGCUCAACCGGAGAAUUGCAUCAGAAACUGUUGAACUUGAGUGCAGAAGAGGAGAGCGGAACUCCAUGUGUAGCGGUGGAAUGCGUAGAUAUAUGGAAGAACACCAGUGGCGAAGGCGGCUCUCUGGUCUGCAACUGACGCUGAGGCUCGAAAGCAUGGGUAGCGAACAGGAUUAGAUACCCUGGUAGUCCAUGCCGUAAACGAUGAGUGCUAAGUGUUGGGAGGUUUCCGCCUCUCAGUGCUGCAGCUAACGCAUUAAGCACUCCGCCUGGGGAGUACGACCGCAAGGUUGCAACUCAAAGG
rnacentral:rRNA from 1 species